UUUUUUUUUUCCAAAGCUUACAUUCUGGAUUUGGAAUGAGUUCCUCUUUGAUUUUGAUUAUUUCAAGAGAGCAUCAGCUUGUAUCAUUGGUGAAGUCCAUAAGAUCUUAAUGUAUAAUUAGUUGAUAAUUGGCAAACGUAAUUGAGCUUGGUAAGUUUUAAUGUAUAUCAAGAUGUUGGUUUGAGAUGGAGCUAUAAGAUUUGUCAUAAUUUUA
rnacentral:lncRNA from 1 species